GCGGCUGUUGAUGCUAUUUUGGGCCUCCGAAGCCAAGGGUCGUGGGUUCGAUCCCCGCCAGCCGCACCA
rnacentral:tRNA from 1 species